ensembl:lncRNA ELN-AS1 ELN antisense RNA 1
GCCAAGCAGUCAGCAGUGAGCAGGGGAGGAGGCCAGGGCUGCUGGGGGUCGGCGCUGAGGAAGCCAGGAUUUUCCGAGGGCCAAUGCCGGGAGCCACGCCAACGCCAGGAGCCACACCAACUCCAGGAGCCACGCCAACUCCAGGAGCCAAGCCAACUCCAGGAGCCACACCGACACCAGGAGCCACGCCAACUCCAGGAGCCACGCCGACACCAGGAACUAACCCUGCAAGAUUGAGAAGAGCUGAUCAUUAACCAAGACCUGAUCAAAGAGGACAGAAGCUUAUGGAAAGAGGGCUGGAGCCUCGGCCCUGGCAUAGAUUUGCUGUGUGACCCUGGAUCAGUUACUUUCCCUUGCUGGGCCUCAGCUUCCUCCUCCCUAAUAUGAAGUGUGUGCAGGCUCAGGAGUUCAUAACUUUGUUUUUUUGGAGACAGAGUCUCACUCUAUCGCCCAGGCUGGAGUGCAAUGGCGUGAUCUCGACUCACUGCAACCACCACCUCCCGAGUUCAAGUGAGUCUCCUGCCUCAGCCUCCUGAGUAGCUGGGACUACAGGUGCGCACCACCAUGCCCGGCUAAUUUUUUUGUAUUUUUAGUAGAGACAGGGUUUCACCAUGUUGGCCAGGCUGGUCUUAAACUCCUGACCUUGGGUGAUCCACCCGACUUGGCCUCCCAAAGUUCUGGGAUUAUAGUUGUGAGCUGCUGCAUUUGGCCAGGAGUUCUUAACCUUUUCAGUGACAAGGACCCCUUGGAGAUUUGAGGCUGAUGGAGGCAGAUUUACAUUAUAUAAGGGACUUUGUAAGACAGAAAGGCUUUGGGUUCAAAUCUCAGCUCAGCCACCAUUUAGCUGUGCAACUGUAGGCAAGUUACUUAAGCUCUGGGAACCUCAGUUUCCACAUCUGUAAAAUGGGAAAAAUAAAAUCAACUCUGUAAGAUUUUUGUAGGCCAGACACGUUGGCUCAUGCCUGUCAUCCCAGCACUUUGAGAGGCCAAUGUGGGAGGAUCGCAUACAAUUUUUUUUUUUUUUAAACUGGGCAUGGUGGCAUGUGACUGUAGCCCCAGCUACUAGGGAUACUAAGGGGGAAUAAUGGCUUAAGCUAGGAGUUUGAGGCCUGCGGCGAGCUGACGGCAUCACUGCACUCCAACCUGGGCGACAAUGUGAGACCCCGUCUCAAAUAAAUAAAUAAUAAAGAUUGCUGUGUGUGAGAA